rnacentral:rRNA from 1 species
GACGAACGCUGGCGGCGUGCCUAACACAUGCAAGUCAAAGUCUGAGUGACUUCGGUUACAAGGACUUGGCGCAAGGGUGAGUAAGGCAUAGGUAAUCUGCCUUUUGGUCUGGGAUAACCCCGAGAAAUCGGGAACAAUACCAGAUGAUGCAGCGGAACCGCAUGGUUAUGUUGUUAAAGAUUUAUCGCCAAAAGAUGAGCCUAUGUUCCAUCAGGUAGUUGGUAGGGUAACGGCCUACCAAGCCUACGACGGAUAGCUGGUCUGAGAGGAUGAUCAGCCACAUUGGAACUGAGACACGGUCCAAACUCCGACGGGAGGCAGCAGUGAGGAAUAUUGCGCAAUGGGCGAAAGCCUGACGCAGCAACGCCGCGUGGAUGAUGAAGUUCUUCGGAAUGUAAAAUCCUUUUGCAGGGGACGAAUAGGUCGGCUUGCCGGCUGUGACGGUACCCUGCGAAUAAGCCACGGCUAACUCUGUGCCAGCCCCCGCCGUAAAAC